CCUACGGGGGGCAGCAGUGGGGAAUAUUGCACAAUGGGCGCAAGCCUGAUGCAGCCAUGCCGCGUGUGUGAAGAAGGCCUUCGGGUUGUAAAGCACUUUCAGCGGGGAGGAAGGCGGUGAGGUUAAUAACCUCAUCGAUUGACGUUACCCGCAGAAGAAGCACCGGCUAACUCCGUGCCAGCAGCCGCGGUAAUACGGAGGGUGGAAGCGUUAAUCGGAAUUACUGGGCGUAAAGCGCACGCAGGCGGUCUGUCAAGUCGGAUGUGAAAUCCCCGGGCUCAACCUGGGAACUGCAUUCGAAACUGGCAGGCUAGAGUCUUGUAGAGGGGGGUAGAAUUCCAGGUGUAGCGGUGAAAUGCGUAGAGAUCUGGAGGAAUACCGGUGGCGAAGGCGGCCCCCUGGACAAAGACUGACGCUCAGGUGCGAAAGCGUGGGGAGCAAACAGGAUUAGAUACCCUAGUAGUC
rnacentral:rRNA from 1 species